UACAGAGACUGCAAGCGUUGUUCGGAGUUACUGGGCGUAAAGAGUGCGUAGGCGGCUGUCGAAAGUUUGGCGUGAAAUCCUCCCGGCUUAACUGGGAGGGUGCGCCGAAAACUGCGAUGCUGGAGUGUGGGAAAGGCAAGCGGAAUUCCUGGUGUGAGCGGUGAAAUGCGUAGAUAUCAGGAGGACACCGGCGGUGUAGACGGCUUGCGAGACCAUAACUGACGCUGAGGCACGAAAGCGUGGGUAGCAAACAGG
rnacentral:rRNA from 1 species